rnacentral:rRNA from 1 species
GACGAACGCUGGCGGCGUGCUUAACACAUGCAAGUCGAACGGAAAGGCCCUGCUUUUGUGGGGUGCUCGAGUGGCGAACGGGUGAGUAACACGUGAGUAACCUGCCCUUGACUUUGGGAUAACUUCAGGAAACUGGGGCUAAUACCGGAUAGGAGCUCCUGCUGCAUGGUGGGGGUUGGAAAGUUUCGGCGGUUGGGGAUGGACUCGCGGCUUAUCAGCUUGUUGGUGGGGUAGUGGCUUACCAAGGCUUUGGCGGGUAGCCGGCCUGAGAGGGGGACCGGCCACAUUGGGACUGAGAUACGGACCAGACUCCAACGGGGGGCAGCAGUGGGGAAUAUUGCACAAUGGGCGGAAGCCUGAUGCAGCAACGCCGCGUGCGGGAUGACGGCCUUCGGGUUGUAAACCGCUUUCGCCUGUGACGAAGCGUGAGUGACGGUAAUGGGUAAAGAAGCACCGGCUAACUACGUG